rnacentral:rRNA from 1 species
UAAGACGAAGGGGGCUAGCGUUGUUCGGAAUUACUGGGCGUAAAGCGCGUGUAGGCGGUUGCCCAAGUCGGGUGUGAAAGCCUUGAGCUCAACUCAAGAAAUGCACUCGGUACUGGGUGACUAGAGGACCGGAGAGGAUAGUGGAAUUCCCAGUGUAGUGGUGAAAUACGUAGAGAUUGGGAAGAACACCAGUGGCGAAGGCGGCUAUCUGGACGGUUUCUGACGCUAAGACGCGAAAGCGUGGGGAGCAAACAGGAUUAGAUACCCUGGUAGUCCACGCCGUAAACGAUGGGUACUAGGUGCCUGGGGGAGCGACCCUCUGGGUGCCGGCGCUAACGCAGGAAGUACCCCGCCUGGGGAGUACGACCGCAAGGUUG